GUGAGUGUAGCUCAAUUCGGCAGAGCACCGGACUGUGGCUCCGGGGGUUGAGGGUUCGAGCCCCUUCACUCACC
rnacentral:tRNA from 2 species